UACGUAGGGCGCAAGCGUUGUCCGGAAUUAUUGGGCGUAAAGAGCUCGUAGGUGGCUUGUCGCGUCGGGUGUGAAAGCUUGGGGCUUAACUCCAGGUCUGCAUUCGAUACGGGCUGGCUAGAGGUAGGUAGGGGAGAACGGAAUUCCUGGUGUAGCGGUGAAAUGCGCAGAUAUCAGGAGGAACACCGGUGGCGAAGGCGGUUCUCUGGGCCUUACCUGACGCUGAGGAGCGAAAGCGUGGGGAGCGAACAGG
rnacentral:rRNA from 2 species